AUCAAGCUCUCCCAAUAAACUUGUGCAGAAGGGUCCUGUUGCAGCAUUGUUCUUGCUGGCAAGUAGGGCACGCGCAAGAAGUGGUGCUGAAACCUGGGAAAAGAAACAUCUUCAGGCAUGAGCGAAGACCCCCUGCUACAGGGAGGAUUCAGAACUGCAUCACAGGGAAAGAGCAGUUAAUACGGUGUUCCUGUAAAACAGACUGCUGAGAAGGAUCCAACUGCGUGGAUUCAGAACUCUUCAGCUGGGGAACGGUGGUAAUGAAGUGUUCCUGCAAAACAGACUGCUGAGAAGGAUCCAACUGCGUGGAUUCAGAACUCUUCAGCUGAGGAACGGUGGUACCGGUGCACUCAGAAAUGAUGAACCGAAUGUAUGGGCAGUCUGUAACCUAACCAAGCUGACAUGAGAUCAUCACAAGAGCCCAUCUGUGAGAGAGCCCUAAGGGACCCUGGAGGAGAACACCAGCUAAUUGGAGGCUCUGCAUAAAGGAGUACAUUCUGUUUACAGCAAGAAGACCAUGAAGCCUCUCCUCCUGACAAGAUGAAGAAAGUGGGUGUUAUUUUGCAACUGAGGGUCAAGGGAAAACAAAAAAAAUGUUCAGCACAGUUUGGAAGAAAAUCAUCAACUGUACCUUCUGAACUGUAACACUGGUCAGGUUGAGCUUAACAAGCUUUAAAGUGCUUUUUAAAAUAAACCAAAUUAUUAAACUAUUGA
rnacentral:lncRNA from 1 species